UGGUGGAGUGAUUUGUCUGGUUAAUUCCGUCAACGAAUGAGACCGCCGCCUGCUAAAUAGUGCAUCUAAUGGUUUUUUCAUUGGACAGCGCUUCUUAGAGGGACGUUCAUUCUACAAGAUGAAGGAAGAUGGCGGCAAUAACA
rnacentral:rRNA from 1 species